rnacentral:sRNA from 1 species
CACUGGGUUAGAGGACAUGGGGCAGGAGACCUGAGAAGGAAGAGAGGACAGUUCUGUGCCACACUGGUCAUAUUUAGAAGACAUUUUCAUAUUCCAACCAUUGUUCUGUGUGUGCAUUUUAUUUCUCACGACUGUAUAUGUAGUUAACAAUACUAUUUUUUGAACUAUCUACCCUUUCUAGAUGUUCUGAAAUGCCCAUGUUAAAAUUAGAGAUAGUAAAAUGACACAUUUUGUAAAUCUUUUUGUUAAAAUUCAUAUGUAAUGUUGUUUUGGUUGGGGGGGGGUGGCCAAACCACCUGUUAAUAAUACACAUUGUGUUUGUGCACUGGUUCAGGGGAGGAGAGAGGAAAGGAAGUGUAAGAGCUCUAUGCCAAUGUGCUUAUAGUGAGGCAAGGUUAACCAUUGUCUCAUGCCUGGGCAUUUUGUUUUACUUAUCUGGGUGUAUUGUGGAUCUAAAGGAUAAAUGAGUCCUGACUUUACAUCUAGUCUUUCUAGAUGUUAAAGAGGUUGCUAGUGUAUGACAGAAGUAGUUAGUAAACUAAUAUAUUUUGUACAUUUCGUUUUAAGAUUCCCAGGAAAGACAGUCUUCUGAAAAUUUGAGCAUUAUUGCCCAGUGGGUUGAUGGAGAUGGGAAGGUGUAGGCCAGAAUGUUCAUAUUUGGAAGACUCAGUCAUAACUGUUUUUACAUGUGUUCACUUUAUUCAAGACUUCUGUGCAUAUAGUGGACAAAUUAACUUCUUACCUGAAACAUCUUAUCUAUGUAGAUGUUCAGAAUUGCCUGAUGUAUGUUAAGUGUAGAGGUAGUAAAAUAUCACCUUGUAAAUAUCUUUUUGCUAAAAUUCUUGGGAAGUACUGUCUUUUGGAAGUGGAAUUGUGAAGCCACCUCUGUAAGCAGUAUAGUACUGUCUAUACUUGUUCAGUGGUUUAGAAAUGGGAGGGAAGAAAUUGCCAAAGGUAAUAUGCUAGUGUGUUCAUACUUGGACAUUUCACUUGCCAUUUUUCUGUAUGUUUUGUGCAUUUUGUUUUGCUGUGUAUGUAGAGUACAUAAUGAACAAAUGAGUCCUAAUUUUGCAACAUUUGGUCUCUAGAUGUUUAAGAAGUUGCCAGUGUAUGACAAAGUAUCUAGUAAAAUUAGCACAUUUUGCACACUUUGUGUUGAAAUUCAUAGGAAAGCUUGUCUUCUGUAAAUGAUUUUUGGGUAUGAAUUUGUUCAGCCAUCUCUAAGCGUUACACAUGCCUGUACCUGUCCACUGGAUUGAAGACAGAGAGAAGGAAGUGAGGAAGGACUGGUUCAAGGUCAAAAUUGUCAUAUUUAGAAGAUACCUCCGAUUAUAGCCAUUGUUACAUGUGCAAUUUUAUUUUACAGUGCUAUGUACACAGUGGAAAGUUAUAUGAAAUAUCUGGUCUCUCUAGAUAGUUAGAAAUGCUUGAUGUAUUUAAAAGUAGAAAUAGUAUAAUAACACUUUUUGUAAAUAGCUUUUAAAAACUGAUGGGAAAUACUGUGUUUGAAAGUGGGAUUGUUAAAUCCCACUCUGUGAACAGUGUUACUUGUUCAUUCAGUUGAGGAAGGUGAGAGGGAAGAAAUUACAAAAGAUGUUUUGCUACUGUGUACUAGAAAAUUUCAGUUUAUCCAUUGCCUUAUAUGUUAAAUGCAUUGCAUGUAACUUUGCUAUACUACAUAUUGUGUUAUAUACUGGAAAAAUGAGUCCUAAUUUAAAAAUAUCCACUGUCUAGAUACUAAAGAGGUUGCCAAUGUAUGACAAAAAUAGUAAAGUAACACAUUUUGUACACUUUGUGUUAACGUUUAUAAAAAGACUAUCUUCUGAAAACGACUUUUGGAAGUGAAAUGAUAACAUCAACUCUAAGUGACACAUGGGCCCAUAUCCACCAGGUUGGUGGUGCAGAGGAGCUGGAAGAAAUGAAGGAUUCUAGAUCAGAAUAUUCCUAUUUAGAAGACAGUUUAAGAUAAACCAUGUGUGUAGUUUAUUCAACCCUACUGAUGCAAGAGAAUAGGGUCUGGAGGCAGGAAACAUAAAGCAGAUUCAUGCAGACUUCCUAGAAAUCAAUGAAAUGGAAACACAUCAGCUAUGACAGGACAUAUACUCUCCAACAGAGUAAAUGACUUUGUAACUUUAUUUCAUCCUCUCCAUUUACAUAGGGCGUAUAUCAAGUAAAUGACUAGGGUGUAUACCAAGUAAAUGACUUUGUAACUUUAUUUCAUCCUCUUCAUUUACAUAAGGCAUAUACCAAGUAACCAAUGGAAACCUUGAGAGGGUAUUUAAACCCCAGAAAAUUCUGUAACUGGGCUCUUGAGCCCCUAAGCACAGGCCUUCUCCCACCCUGUGGAGCAUACUUUCAUUUCAUAAAUCUCUGCUUUUGUUGUUUCAUUCUUUUCUUGCUUUGUGUGUUUUGUCCAAUUCUUGGUUCAAUAUGCCCAGAAACUGGACACCCUCCACUGGUAACAUAUUUUGGCAAGGCAGCCAGGAGGUAAGCCCAAAGUUUGGGAUUUUUCAUCUUUUCUUUUCCACUCCAUACAGGGGAAUCUCUCCCUCUGUCUCUCUUUCCUUUCCAACUCAGGACCCUUGGUGGGCAGCGCCUAAACACGGAGGCAACCGCAGGUUUCUGGGUGGGGCCAUCCUGAAGGACCUUUUUCUAUCUUUACUGGUUGUGGUCCCUGAUUCCUAUGUGUGGCGUAGUUCAGGGCAAACUUGCAGCUCAGGGCAAACUUGCAGCUCAGGGCGAACUUGCAUGUGUUUCAGGCGACGGAAACCUUUUCUAUACUAACUUCUUCCCUUACCCUACUUGACUGGCUAAGGACAAAAGAAGCCUACCCAGCUUCCAUUUCCUAUCAUUACAGUUCAUGGCUCUCAUGCUAGUGGAACAGGAAGCAUGGGAUAAUGUGGCCUUAUCAAAUUAUAAGGAUGCUAAACGUCAGUGAUUACACCCAGGAACCAAAGGACAGUUCACAAUUGCCUCUGGAGGGAAAAUAUGCAAAGCAGCACUGGUGCCCACCUAAGGUCAGAGAUGCCUGACACUCUUAAGACUGGACCCCAAAGGGGGAUUCCCCAGGGGAUCCUCCAGACUUCAACCUCUCCAAAGGGGAUGCCCUUGGCAGCAGUUCUAAGGACUAGUACUAAGCCCUCCUUAGAAUUUUCUCUUGCAGUUGCAAUACUGUUUGGCCCCAAUAUGGUUUGGAUUCUGGCAUUUGCUGUUGAAUGGGAAAGCGGGACGCAGUUGCAUGUAUCCAGGCUUUGGUGCUGCUGUUCUAAGCAGGGGCAGGCCUAGUUAUUAUGUGAUGUUCUCCUUUGGUGCUGUUUGACCCCAGUGUUCUUUCGAGUCUGGGGAGGUUUGGCCUUUAAAAAUCAAACUGCCAUGGAAAUUGCUUUACCUGAAAUAAUGGUUCACAGCCUUCAUUGGAUUGCUUAUUGGGUACACAAAGUAAAAUUGGCAAGCUUGUAUUGCUAUCUCAUGGUUAGGGUUCCAAGGUAAAAGCUAUUGAAUCUUCGUUUGUGUGUGUAUAUACACAUGUCUAGAUGUGUUUAUUUGCACACUUGUUAUAUGUUGUGUUUUGGCUUAUAAGUAAAAGAGCACUCAUAAAUUAAGUAAAUAAAUCUAAGCAAUUUUCAAGUUCACAUGACUUAAGUAUAACUUUCCUAAACAAGCUAGUUUUAAAAUUAUUGGUGAAGUAAAAAUAGAAAUGCCUUUGGAAUUGUCAGCAUAUAUUUUUGUCUGGAUUUUAUAUUUGUCUCUGCUAGAUAUUUUGAGGUGUUAGGGUUUGGCAUAGAAGGUUAUAAAACUAUAAACCCAGCCAAAACAAAAUCAUCUCGUUUGCGUUUUUUUUUUUUUUUUUUUUUUUUUUUUUUUUUUUUUUUUUUUUUUUUUUUGACAAAUGAGCAUAAUUUAAUGUUAGCUAAAUUUUCUGGGUUACUGGCAAAAAUACCUAUGUAUUUAACUUUGAGGCUCUUACUUAGGUUUAAGUGCACACCCAAUAUUCACUGGCUAUUCAAAAUGUGGUUAACAGGGAAAUAACUGACUUUAAAAGAUAGUGUCUAAUAUUUCGGUUUACAGAGGUAAUCUAGAUAAACUGUUAAAAGUGAAACAAUUGAGUACAGUGAAUGGGACAAAUGUUUUAGAUAAGUUUUUGUGUAAAGUCUUAAAAUUAUUUUUGAUGCUCAUUUAAAAUCUGGGCCAUUUCCAAUUAGAAAGGUUGUGAUAUGGGGAAAUAUGUUUCUAAAAUUGUGUAAUUGUUCUUAACUAUAAAUUCCCAUAUCUGAUAGUUCAGGAUUUCUUGCUUUUUAGCAUUUCACUAAAGUUUUAGGUUACUAAGGAUAAGAAUUCUAGUUAACACAUAAUUCUGUAUACAAAACAUGCCAGAAAGGUUGUGUUAUUAGUGAGAAAAAGAAUAAUUUAGAAGUUAUCUAAAAGUUAGUUCAAAUUACAGAUUUGAAAAGGUUACUUAUGAAACAAUGUAGUAAGGAACCAGUAAGUAGAGGAGAAAGAUAUGGAAAAAGUUUAGAUAAUAAAAUAUUCUUUAAAACCUGAUAGAGAAUUGGAGAUAUUUGGCUAAUUAACAUUUUCAUAGUGAAAGCUCUUAGUCCUGAUAAAAGUAAAAUAAGCAUUGUAAAGAAAUGCAUUGGCAGUUUGGCAAUUCCUUUUUACUAUAGUUAAGCAUGAAGCCGGAUUUGGUGUGGAGCCAAAUUUCACAUACAUGCUUGCAUUGCUUCACACUGUUUACUGUUUUGUGUGGUUAGUGCUGGCACUGGAGUACUUAUUGGUUAUGUGCCUAUAGUGUAUUUCUUGAUUGCACAGGAUGUAUGGUGAUAUUGGUGACCUUAAGGAUACUGAAUUGUGUAUCAGGAAUAAAAUAUUCAUUAUGUGGGUUUUGGGGGGCCCUAGGUAAACACUGUAGCCUCCAGGGUAGAUUGAGAAGGAAAAAUUUAGGGUUGGGUUCCUAUUCGUUUUUGCUUCUAAUUUUCAUUUGUUUGCCAUUUAUUCUCCUCUGGCUUUGCUUGUGUAUGCAUAUAUAAAACCAUAUAUAUAUAUUUUAAAUUUCUAGUGGAAGGCUUUCAUUUGGUUCUGUGAAUAGUUAUUUUGUUCCCUAUGCAUUUCUAGCAAGUCAUCAUUUGUUCCAUUUAUCUGGAAUUCCUAGGCUACCUUUGUCAGGCUGGCAGGAAUUGAUGGAGCACACCAGCUUUUUAACCUUGAACUAACUCAAAUUCUGUUUAUGAUACUUUAAGUGUGUUGAGUAUAUUUUCAUAAACAGAAUUUGAGUCAUAUUUCUCUGUCUGCCCAUUUUCUCCAAAAUUUGUAAACUAUUUGUGAAUAUUCUUAAUUCAUGGCAAUGUGUUUGUUUGCAUAUAGUCAAGCAGGGUUCCUAGGGCUGCUUUGGGAGACAGAACCCAGAAACCUGGCAUACUGGCAAAAGGGUAAGAAUUUCUUACCAGCCAGACUCUGGUCUCUGUCUCUCUGUGCAAACUGCAUAAAUGAAUAGUAAAAGUCACUGUUUAUCUCCUCUGUAAAGUUUUGAUUAAUAUAAAAAAAGAAUUCUGAGGCCAAUCUUAAGCUGUAGUGAAUCUGGUGUGCUUUGUGUCUUUCUGUAUUGUUUUGUCAUAAAGAGGGGUACCUUAGAAUAAAAUGUGUGCUUAGGACCCCAUAGACCUGCUGUUCAAGACAUCCCAGCAGACUGGUCAGUCAUGUCUUUGGGAGCUUGACCUUGUAACCAUGUGGCCAUGCUUUCUCUUUUCACAAUGGCAGCCUGCGUUUAGGGUUCAAUUCCUGGCUUAGGGAAUGAGUCCUUUAUCUUCUGUCUGUGUAUUUAUAUAUGUUGUGUGUGUACUAUAAAAGAGCAUUAAUUAAUUAGCUUAAUAACAAUAAGAGCUUAAAUCAAAUAUUUUGUCAGAAAAGUAAAAAAUGUAAUGCCUUUUAUUUACUUCAUGUAACUUAAGUAAUCUUUGGGAAAUAAAGACAGUUUUAAAGAUUAUUGGUAAAAUAAAAAUAUCUUCAAAAUGUAAAUAUUUAGUCUAAAUUAUGCAGGUCAGAUAUUAGAUUUGCAAAAUGCUUUAAGGUCAUAAACUGCUUCUUUGACUUUUAAAAAUUGCUCAAUUUAUUUUGGAGCAUUAGAUUCUAGAUAAGGCCUGGGGACAAAUAGAAUUAGCCAUGUCCCCUAGCUAUGCAAAGAAGGUUAUAAAGAAAGGAGAUUUUAUAUAAGAAAGGAUCUUAUAUCGUAAAUUCUUGUCCUAAAGUAAAAUAAGUGGUUGUUAAAAAAGAGGGAUGUUUAGGUCAAGUUAGAAAGUCCAAGCAUGUCAUAGAUGGUCUGUGUAAGUCAUGAAAUAAUUUACAAAAGAGAAUUUUUGCAAGUAAUAUACAAUUUAAUUAGACCUCCUAAUUAGGAUUAAUUAAUUAAUUAAUUUAGGAGGUCUAAUCCUAAUUAGGUCUAAUUAGGAUUAGACCUCCUAAAUGCUUCAUAAAAUGCCACUAUGACUCUUAACUCUACAACUUGCCUGCUUUACAGCUAGGUAAGGCCUGAGACACGUGGAGUGAGAUGCUGGAGUCAGACCUUAAGUGUACUUCUCUCUGGGUCCUAGACUCCACAACUAAUAUAUAAUUAAAAUCCUUAACUUACCAAAGUUUUCACCAAAAGUAAAACUCACUAAGAGUUAACAUUGUAACAUGUAAGUGAGACUACUGAAGCAACAGUUUUACAUGCAAGUUACGUAAGAAAAGUGAAUGCAUUUUCAGUGAAAGAUUAUAACAAGGCAUGGGAAUGUAGAUUUUUUUUUUCUGUCUAAAGGGUUAAAGGAUUGUUUUAAGUUAGGAUAAAGCUAAAAGUUUGAAUGAGUUGUGGAAGAUUUAUAAAAAUUAAUAUUGUAAAAAAUCACGUGUGUGAACAUAUUGACUAAAUUUAAAGGGGUAUUUUCUGGUUUUUCCAUAAAUUGAACAUCAAAAUACAAGCACAAACAGGGUUUUCUUAAAGCACUGAUCUGCUCUUUAGCAAACAUUUGUAAAGGAUUAUAAAAGGUUUAUGAGAAUCUCACCUUAUGGUCAAACUGAUUACGAUUGGAAAGAUAUGUCUACAAGGUUUUCUUAAAAAUUGGUGUUGACAUUAAUAGCACACUAAUGCAAGGGUGAAAUUUGGCUUUCUCUCUUGAACAAGAUGUUCAUGCAAUAUUAAAAGAUAAUGAAAGAUCUUUGUUUGCCUUUUGAAUAAACUACCCACCCACCAAAAAAAAAGGAAGGGAAAGACAAGAGACAGAUUGUUUGUAAAGUAAGUCUUCCAUCUAUCAACAAGGAAAGGUUUUUGCCUUUUAAAACAUUUUUGAGUCAUCAUUUUGCUAAAUGAAUGACUAUGGUAACCUGGAAUUAUAUUUCAUAAUAUCAAGUGUUUUAAAUCUUUAACAUAUUUAAUAGGCUUCCCAAAAUCAAAUUUCAGCUUCAAAAUUAUCUUUUCUAACCUCUAACUUUGAGAUGCUGCAGAGGGCCCCUGAAGCAUCCAAAAGAGAGGUAAACAGAAUUAUUUGACAUGUUUAAUUACAUGGGAAGCAUUGUCAAAAAGAAAAAAAAAUUUAAUCUUCUUCAGGUUAUAUUUUAGUGAAUAAUAUUAAUAUAUGUUCCAAAAUUGUAUGAGAUUUCUAAAAUUCCAGUAUGUCUGAGUAUAUGCUAUCAAUCAUAAUUAUUAUUAUGUUAUUGUAGACCACAGAAAUAACCAAAUUUCCUUGUCAAUUGUGUUUUUAACUAUAACUAUUUAAAGUCAUUUCCACAGUUAAUUGCUUAAUGCUGAUGCAGUUUCUGAAAACUUCACAAGCAUGCAAAGUCCUAGAAUAUGGUGUCUUUUAGGAGAUUCAUGAAAGAUUGGAAAGGACCCUAAAAAGCACUCUUGAAUACAGGUUUCUAAUAAGUUUAGAAUUAUAUCAUUUGAACUGGGUAAGAAUUCCUGGAACUUUAAUGAAAAGGCUGACUGAGUUCUAAAACUGCUAACCCAAGUAGAACAAAAAUUAAUUAAAUACCAAGAAAAUACUUUGCCAGAUUUUCAUGCUAAAUCAGCUGAUACUGAAACUGUUUAGAUAUAAAAUUUGAAUAAACUCCAUCAUUUAAAUCAAAUUACCUAUGACAACCCAUCAGUUAUCAGUGUUAUGCACCUAAUUUGGGGAAACUACUGGUAUUCAAGAGGAUAUGAGUCUAAUGUUAAUUAAGCAUGAACUCAUGGAGAACCAGGAUGGCCACCUUGUCCUUCCUAAGUCCUUAAAGCUUUUGUUAGUAAAAUUUCUGCAUUACAUGACCCGUCACGGAAAAGAUAAAAUGAUCCAAAUUGAAUAUAUUGAUGUGGUGACUUAUAAAUUGCUAAAAUAGUUUAUAACCAAUGUUUGGUCCCAUAUUCCUGGGAAAACAAUCAAAGCUUCAGGUACAUCCAGUCACCUGAUAGGCCAUUUAAACAUUUUAUAGAGGGAUUUUAUUUGAUUGUUAUUUUCAGUGCAUGUUUUCUGGUUGUAUAAAAGCUUUCCCAUGCAAGAGGGCUGAUGUUAUAACACUAAGUUAUUAUGCCACCAAGUAUUUUCACAAGGUAAAGAAAGCUUUUUAUGGUUCACUGAGGACAAUCAACUCCUUCACAACCUAGAAACUGAAGAUUCUAUCUUCUGAGAACAUUGGAUAAAGACUGUCCUUGCCAUCCACACUACAGCAAAACUUCUGGACUUUGAACUUUGGGUUCAUGAUCUCACAACUGAGAAGACUCCCUCCACACUCUUGGAACUGUACACCCAUUGGAACCCUUAAGGUAAAGCUAACCAGGGAAGUUUCUCUCCCGAAGAAGAUGGCAUCCUUGAUGUGAACAGCUUUUCCCAAGAUCAUGAAUCAAGACUUCUCUAUUAUCAUGAGACUCUUAUCUUUGAAUAUUUUUUCCUUGCUUUUGCCUCUAUGAAGAAUAGAAGUGGAAAAGGGAUCUGUUGUGUACAAUUAUGGGGUAUACUUUUAUUUGUGAAGAAUUUUGCAGCCAGCUUUAGGUCCUUUUUCCAUGAUUUGGAAUAAAAGAGGCAAAUGUAUCCCUCAUAAUAGGCUCUAUAGCAGUUUACUGUAAAGGCUAUGGUUACAUAAUAGACUAAAUUAUCUUAAGAAAGUUAUGCUAAAUAAUAGAAUUGGCUAAACAGAAGAGUAUCUGUGCAGCUGCUGGCACUCAUGGCCUAUGGAGAAAACAUCAGGUAUUAUAGAGAUUCAGUUGUAGCAAAUUAAUGAAGAGACUGCUUAGUUAAGUGAGUAGACUCUUUAGCUCAUUCUUUAAUCUAUUUGAGUUUGGGAGGUUUGGUUUAUGGUGACCCUGGAUAAGGAGCAUACUUACUCUCAACUCUUGGUAUUAUCCUCCUGAUAGUCAUAAUAAUAGUCUCCCUGGUGUGCUGUAUUCUCUCAAAGGUUUUAAAUGUUUGCAUGCUGCCACCUCUAGAA